rnacentral:rRNA from 1 species
AUUGAACGCUGGCGGCAUGCCUAACACAUGCAAGUCGAACGGGGCAGCAAUGCCUAGUGGCGGACGGGUGAGGAGCACGUAGGAAUCUGCCCUUAAGUGGGGGAUAACCAGGGGAAACCCUGACUAUUACCGCAUGAUCUCUUCGGAGCAAAGAGGGAGACCGCAAGGCCUCUCGCUUCUGGAUGAGCCUACGUCUGAUUAGCUAGUUGGUAGGGUAAAGGCCUACCAAGGCGACGAUCAGUAACUGGUCUGAGAGGAUGAUCAGUCACACCGGAACUGAGACACGGUCCGGACUCCUACGGGAGGCAGCAGUGGGGAAUAUUGGACUAUGGGCGCAAGCCUGAUCCAGCAAUGCCGCGUGUGUGAAGAAGGCCUUCGGGUUGUAAAGCACUUUAGCCUGGAAAGAAAAAACUUUGGUUAACACCCAAAGUCUUGACGGUACCAGGAGAAUAAGCACCGGCUAACUCUGUGCCAGCAGCCGCCGUAAAAC